GCAGCGCCUGGCUUGGCGCUGUUUGAAUCUAGGGCGGCUGGUCUUAGGUUUUUUGUGUCCGGGUAUUCCCGAUGUGGUGGCCGACGCUCUGUCUUGGUCAUUAUUGGGCAUACUUCGGUCAGAGGUGUCACGGGGUCAAUGUUAGGGCAGUGGAGGUGGUCGCCUGGUCCAACAGUUUGAUGAAGCUGGUCCGUGGGUCGCCCUAUGAGGCGGCGUGGGGCCCACUCCAGUAUGGUGGGAGUGAUCGGUACGGAUGGGGACGUUUCCUUGUAGGUUCCGGGAGUGGACUGCUCAUCUACAUGUUUGGUACCGUCUGUUGAGGGCGCUAGGGGUGAUUUCUGUGAUUGGCAGAGCUCGGCUUCCUGUUCAGGUUACAGUUGUUGGCAAGUGGUGGGGUGUUUUGGUGGACGGACUUAUUUCAGGUUUUGCCGCUCGACUGCUGUUGUCGUGGGACGGGUAAGUCAGUUGCGGUGUGGCUGAUGCGUCGAUGGAAUCUGUGCGAUUCUUGGAUGUUUAGGGGUCGACGUGCCCUGGCUUUUCCGCUUUCUCCUAAGGUAGAUGGAAUGCACGGGGUGAUGGUUGGGCUCCUAACACGGUGUAAUGGGUUCCCAGGAUGGCCUGACAAAUUCCGUUCUGAUCGGAGACACUGCAGGUUUCCAUCAAUUGCCGGAAAGUUGGUGGGGUGUUCGAGGGGCAUUUAUUCUGGUUUGGGAUGGCUACGGUCGCCGCCAGGCUUGGGGUGCC